UUGACCAGUAAAAAGUUGAAAUUCUUCUUUCCACAGAUGGACUUUUGAACUUUUCCCUGUUGGAAUUGCCCUUAGACAGGAUAAUCUAGAAUCUCUCCCAUCUGACAAAAACCCCACACCAACAAUUAGCUUCAUCAUUCUUCCCCACACUUCACAAAGGUAUCUAAUUUUGGCUUUAAAUUCCCAGAGCAUGUGUACUUUGAGCAUAAUCUUGUAUAAAUAGGGAUUGUCAUCCUCAUAAUUAUUUAAACAUUAUCAGCCACAAGUAAUCAGAAGUCCUAGGUGUGACCCUCUUAGUGUGUCAACAUUGGCCUGCCACAUCAUUGUUUCUUGGCUUAAUGAAAAAUGUAUAAGUUUCUUGGCACUUCACCACAUAUUCUAUUUCUAGAGGGAUAUUUGAAGAAAAUGUUUUGUUAUGGUGUACAGCUUGGGUGAUGUACAUGUCCAAUGAAGAUUUGGCUUGAGAAUACAAAACUUCGUAUCAACAGUGGAUCUCUUGCAAAACAAACUUGCUGUAGUUGGUGACUUUGGGGCAAGAAGAUCAUUUUAGGAAGUUUGAUGCCCACAUCUUAGACAGCGGCCAUCGAUAACUGAAGCCAAGACUCAUCAAUAUAUCUGCCAAGUUUGAUCUAGGAAAAACGAGAUGUGUUUGCGAAACACUGAUGCCCGCAUACAACAGCAAAGUAUAAUGGACCCAAAGAAAGAUCUUGUUACAAGGAAUACACCUAUGAAAUGUGAAAGCCAUAUCAGUAAUCAUUCAAAACUUAUGGCCUAGGUUAAAGUAGGUCAAACUCCCAAGUCAAGGUCAUAAGGUAAAAAAAAUUCUGGCACUAAAAGGAAAGGUUUUGUCAAAAGGUAUACACAUAUGAAAUAUGAAAGCAUUAUCACUAAGUAUUCAAAAGUUAUGGCCUUGGUUAAAAUUUUCAAAAGUAGGUCGAAGUCCUAGGUCAUCAGGUCAAAGUUUUUAGUAAAUGUCUUGUCAAAAAGAAUAUAUGUGAAAUAUGAAAGCUCUAUUGCUAACUAUUCAAAGGAUAAUUAUGUCCAAGACUAAAGUUUUUCAAAAGUAGGUCAUACUCCAAGGUCAUGAAGUAAAAGAAUUUGUUACCUAAGAAAUGUCUUGUCAAAAGGAAUACACAUGUCAAAUAUGAAAGCCCUAUCACUAACCAUUCAAAAGUUAGAUUAAAGUUUUUCUAAAGUAGGUCAAUAUCCAAAAUGAAGGUCACAAGGUCAAAAAUUUUGGUGCCAAAGUAAAGGUCACAAGGUCAAAAAUUUUGGUACGAAAGUAAAGGUCUUGUCACAAGAAAUACACACGUGAAAUAUGAAAGCCUUGUCACCAUCCAUUAAUUAAAAAGUUAUGGCCAAGGUUAAGUUUUAGCAAACAGACAAGACAGUCAGAGAGGCAGACCAAAACUGGGGAAUAAAAAAAAAAUUCUAUCAUUUUCUUUUAAAUCAGGGUUUAACACUAAGGCACAUCCCACUGACCAAGUCUGCUAAAUGAUAGGUCCAGUUGAGUAAAAAAAGUAACUUUAUCUUAAACCAAAGAUAUUUUAUUCUUAACUAAAAAUUAACAGUAAACACUUUGCAAACAAUUUUAAACUGCAUGCUGACAUAAUCUCUAUUUUCAGUUGUAGUAAAUAAGUCAUGGUCGGAAAUGAUAUUUUACAUCUACUUGUUGUUAAUUAAAAAUGUGAACGUGUGUCAAGUUUUGUUUCAGAGAUAUAAAUUGAAUUAAUUUUACUUUAAACAUGUUAAAAAACAGUUUAUCUGAAUUAAAUGCAAGAAUGUAUUUAUCAAAUCAAUAAAUUACAUCGUAAACAGUCA